GACGAACGCUGGCGGCGUGCUUAACACAUGCAAGUCGAACGGAAAGGCCCUGCUUUUGUGGGGUGCUCGAGUGGCGAACGGGUGAGUAACACGUGAGUAACCUGCCCUUGACUUUGGGAUAACUUCAGGAAACUGGGGCUAAUACCGGAUAGGAGCUCCUGCUGCAUGGUGGGGGUCGGAAAGUUUCGGCGGUUGGGGAUGGACUCGCGGCUUAUCAGCUUGUUGGGGGGGUAGUGGCUUACCAAGGCUUUGACGGGUAGCCGGCCUGAGAGGGUGAACGGCCACAUUGGGACUGAGAGACGGCGCAGACUCCUACGGGAGGCAGCAGUGGGGAGUAUUGCACAAUGGGCGGAAGCCUGAUGCAGCAACGCCGCAUGCGGGAAGACGGCCUUCGGGUUGUAAACCGCUUUCGCCUGUGACGAAGCGUGAGUGACGGUAAUGGGUGAAGAAGCACCGGCUAACUACGUG
rnacentral:rRNA from 1 species